CUGUACAGUUCAGAGUUUGAUCCUGGCUCAGGAUGAACGCUGGCGGCAUGCCUAAGACAUGCAAGUCGAACGAGAUGGCCUUUUGAAAACUGCGUACUUGUACAAAGUUGGAUAGAGAUUUUCCAUCUAGUGGCAGACGGGUGAGUAAUACAUAAGUAACCUACCUUAGAGACUGGGGUAACGUUUGGAAACGGACGCUAAUACCGGAUGAUUCUUCUUACACAAGUAAGAAUGCUAAAAGGAGCUUCGGCUUCACUUUAAGAUGAGCUUAUGGCGUAUUAACUAGUUGGUAGGGUAAUGGCCUACCAAGGUGACGAUGCGUAGCCGAACUGAGAGGUUGAUCGGCCACAUUGGGACUGAGACACGGCCCAA
rnacentral:rRNA from 1 species